rnacentral:rRNA from 1 species
GGGUUGUGAGGUUAAGCGACUAAGCGUACACGGUGGAUGCCCUGGCAGUCAGAGGCGAUGAAGGACGUGCUAAUCUGCGAAAAGCGUCGGUAAGGUGAUAUGAACCGUUAUAGCCGGCGAUGUCCGAAUGGGGAAACCCAGUGCAAUUCGUUGCACUAUCGUUAACUGAAUACAUAGGUUAACGAGGCGAACCGGGGGAACUGAAACAUCUAAGUACCCCGAGGAAAAGAAAUCAACCGAGAUUCCCCCAGUAGCGGCGAGCGAACGGGGAGCAGCCCAGAGUCUGAAUCAGCUUGUGUGUUAGUGGAACGGUCUGGAAAGUCCGACGGUACAGGGUGAUAGUCCCGUACACCAAAAUGCACAGGUUGUGAACUCGAAGAGUAGGGCGGGACACGUGGUAUCCUGUCUGAAUAUGGGGGGACCAUCCUCCAAGGCUAAAUACUCCUGACUGACCGAUAGUGAACCAGUACCGUGAGGGAAAGGCGAAAAGAACCCCGGCGAGGGGAGUGAAAAAGAACCUGAAACCGUGUACGUACAAGCAGUGGGAGCACCUUCGGGUGUGACUGCGUACCUUUUGUAUAAUGGGUCAGCGACUUAUAUUCUGUAGCAAGGUUAACCGUAUAGGGGAGCCGCAGGGAAACCGAGUCUUAACUGGGCGUUAAGUUGCAGGGUAUAGACCCGAAACCCGGUGAUCUAGCCAUGGGCAGGUUGAAGGUUGGGUAACACUAACUGGAGGACCGAACCGACUAAUGUUGAAAAAUUAGCGGAUGACUUGUGGCUGGGGGUGAAAGGCCAAUCAAACCGGGAGAUAGCUGGUUCUCCCCGAAAGCUAUUUAGGUAGCGCCUCGUGAACUCAUCUUCGGGGGUAGAGCACUGUUUCGGCUAGGGGGUCAUCCCGACUUACCAACCCGAUGCAAACUACGAAUACCGAAGAAUGUUAUCACGGGAGACACACGGCGGGUGCUAACGUCCGUCGUGAAGAGGGAAACAACCCAGACCGCCAGCUAAGGUCCCAAAGUCAUGGUUAAGUGGGAAACGAUGUGGGAAGGCACAGACAGCCAGGAUGUUGGCUUAGAAGCAGCCAUCAUUUAAAGAAAGCGUAAUAGCUCACUGGUCGAGUCGGCCUGCGCGGAAGAUGUAACGGGGCUAAACCAUGCACCGAAGCUGCGGCAGCGACACUAUGUGUUGUUGGGUAGGGGAGCGUUCUGUAAGCCUGCGAAGGUGACCUGUGAGGGUUGCUGGAGGUAUCAGAAGUGCGAAUGCUGACAUAAGUAACGAUAAAGCGGGUGAAAAGCCCGCUCGCCGGAAGACCAAGGGUUCCUGUCCAACGUUAAUCGGGGCAGGGUGAGUCGACCCCUAAGGCGAGGCCGAAAGGCGUAGUCGAUGGGAAACAGGUUAAUAUUCCUGUACUUGGUGUUACUGCGAAGGGGGGACGGAGAAGGCUAUGUUAGCCGGGCGACGGUUGUCCCGGUUUAAGCAUGUAGGCUGAUUGUCCAGGCAAAUCCGGAUAAUCAAGGCUGAGGUGUGAUGACGAGGCACUACGGUGCUGAAGUAACAAAUGCCCUGCUUCCAGGAAAAGCCUCUAAGCAUCAGGUAACAUCAAAUCGUACCCCAAACCGACACAGGUGGUCAGGUAGAGAAUACCAAGGCGCUUGAGAGAACUCGGGUGAAGGAACUAGGCAAAAUGGUGCCGUAACUUCGGGAGAAGGCACGCUGGUGUGUAGGUGAAGUCCCUGCGGAUGGAGCUGAGACCAGUCGAAGAUACCAGCUGGCUGCAACUGUUUAUUAAAAACACAGCACUGUGCAAACACGAAAGUGGACGUAUACGGUGUGACGCCUGCCCGGUGCCGGAAGGUUAAUUGAUGGGGUUAUCCGUAAGGAGAAGCUCUUGAUCGAAGCCCCGGUAAACGGCGGCCGUAACUAUAACGGUCCUAAGGUAGCGAAAUUCCUUGUCGGGUAAGUUCCGACCUGCACGAAUGGCGUAAUGAUGGCCAGGCUGUCUCCACCCGAGACUCAGUGAAAUUGAACUCGCUGUGAAGAUGCAGUGUACCCGCGGCAAGACGGAAAGACCCCGUGAACCUUUACUAUAGCUUGACACUGAACAUUGAGCCUUGAUGUGUAGGAUAGGUGGGAGGCUUUGAAGCGUGGACGCCAGUCUGCGUGGAGCCAACCUUGAAAUACCACCCUUUAAUGUUUGAUGUUCUAACGUUGGCCCCUUACCGGGGUUGCGGACAGUGUCUGGUGGGUAGUUUGACUGGGGCGGUCUCCUCCCAAAGCGUAACGGAGGAGCACGAAGGUUAGCUAAUCCUGGUCGGACAUCAGGAGGUUAGUGCAAUGGCAUAAGCUAGCUUGACUGCGAGCGUGACGGCGCGAGCAGGUGCGAAAGCAGGUCAUAGUGAUCCGGUGGUUCUGAAUGGAAGGGCCAUCGCUCAACGGAUAAAAGGUACUCCGGGGAUAACAGGCUGAUACCGCCCAAGAGUUCAUAUCGACGGCGGUGUUUGGCACCUCGAUGUCGGCUCAUCACAUCCUGGGGCUGAAGUAGGUCCCAAGGGUAUGGCUGUUCGCCAUUUAAAGUGGUACGCGAGCUGGGUUUAGAACGUCGUGAGACAGUUCGGUCCCUAUCUGCCGUGGGCGCUGGAGAAUUGAGGGGGGCUGCUCCUAGUACGAGAGGACCGGAGUGGACGCAUCACUGGUGUUCGGGUUGUCAUGCCAAUGGCACUGCCCGGUAGCUAAAUGCGGAAGAGAUAAGUGCUGAAAGCAUCUAAGCACGAAACUUGCCCCGAGAUGAGUUCUCCCUGAGACUUUAAGUCUCCUGAAGGAACGUUAAAGACGAUGACGUUGAUAGGCCGGGUGUGUAAGCGCAGCGAUGCGUUGAGCUAACCGGUACUAAUGAACCGUGAGGCUUAACCUUACAACGCCGAAG